AAAUACAACUUUCAACAACGGAUCUCUUGGCUCUCGCAUCGAUGAAGAACGCAGCGAAAUGCGAUAAGUAAUGUGAAUUGCAGAAUUCAGUGAAUCAUCGAAUCUUUGAACGCACCUUGCGCCCCUUGGCAUUCCGAGGGGCACGCCUGUUUGAGUGUCGUGAACUCCUCCACUUCACAUCUUUUUCGAAGGAUGUCGAAGCUGGGAUUUGGGAGCUUGCGGGUCCCUGGCCGAUCCGCUCUCCUUGAAUACAUUAGCGAAGCCCUUGCGGCCUUGGUGUGAUAGUCAUCU
rnacentral:rRNA from 1 species